ACGUAGGGGGCAAGCGUUGUCCGGAUUUAUUGGGCGUAAAGCGCGUGUAGGCGGCCACGCAGGUCCGCUGUGAAAACUCGAGGCUCAACCUCGAGCUGUCGGUGGAAACCGCGUGGCUAGAGUCCGGAAGAGGAGACUGGAAUUCCCGGUGUAGCGGUGGAAUGCGUAGAUAUCAGGAAGAACACCCGUGGCGAAGGCGGCUCUCUGGGACGGUACUGACGCUGAGACGCGAAAGCGUGGGGAGCGAACAGGA
rnacentral:rRNA from 1 species